GAUGAACGCUGGCGGCGUGCCUAAUACAUGCAAGUCGAGCGAACGGACGAGAAGCUUGCUUCUCUGACGUUAGCGGCGGACGGGUGAGUAACACGUGGAUAACCUACCUAUAAGACUGGGAUAACUUCGGGAAACCGGAGCUAAUACCGGAUAAUAUUUUGAACCGCAUGGUUCAAUAGUGAAAGACGGUCCUGCUGUCACUUAUAGAUGGAUCCGCGCUGCAUUAGCUAGUUGGUAAGGUAACGGCUUACCAAGGCAACGAUGCAUAGCCGACCUGAGAGGGUGAUCGGCCACACUGGAACUGAGACACGGUCCAGACUCCUACGGGAGGCAGCAGUAGGGAAUCUUCCGCAAUGGGCGAAAGCCUGACGGAGCAACGCCGCGUGAGUGAUGAAGGUCUUCGGAUCGUAAAACUCUGUUAUUAGGGAAGAACAUAUGUGUAAGUAACUGUGCACAUCUUGACGGUACCUAAUCAGAAAGCCACGGCUAACUACGUG
rnacentral:rRNA from 1 species